AAGUGGAUCAGGACACAGUUCAGAAUCCCAAGUGAUUUGCAUUUGGCACUUACGCAGUUUUCCCUCUCUCUGGACGUGAUUUCCACGACCAACGGAGGAUGCGAUGCAAAGCAGGGACACCAAAAACACCACCAAUGGCAUCAUCGGUGCCGUCGAUGAAGUCUUCAUGUUGAUCCAGGGAAUGGUUGUUGGCCAGGUAAUCAUAAAACCACAGGAACACCUGUCAUUACCAUGGGAAUGAGGAAUUGCCACAUGUGGUCGAUGUUUACUAGAAAUGGACUUUUGAUGACUCCAAGAUUGCCACCAUGUACCCCAUUAAAGAAUUUUUGACGUUAUUCAAUGAUUUAGACCAACAGUACAGAUAAUGCCUACAACUUGGUGAAGACAUGGAUGAAGAAAAAACCCACUAUGUAAUCAUCAAGAGGAUGGAUGGAUUGAGAAACGGUUCAAAAUUACUGUGAAUACAGCAUUUAGCACUUUAUGUGUAAAGAGUCCAAUCACGCCAUGAUCAGCAAUAAACCCCUUCAAAUAUAACAAUGAAUGGAAAUCUAUUCUGUGUUGGUGGCCAUUGAUGUUGACUUGGGGGUUAGGAUAUGUAAUGGCGUGAUCAAUAGCUGCAAUAAAGAUGUUAAUAUUCUAUAAUCUGACACCAAUGUGUCUCUUUUAUUGAAGUAAUCUUUUACUGUUUGAUUAGUUAUUAGAAAAUAUCAAAGCAUCUUAAGUGGGCUCCAAAAGUAACUAGAUUUUUCAUAUGUGACAAAACGUUUGGAAUCAUGAUGCCUAAUGAAUGAAUGGUAUU